AUUGAACGCUGGCGGCAGGCCUAACACAUGCAAGUCGAGCGGAUGAAGGGAGCUUGCUCCUGGAUUCAGCGGCGGACGGGUGAGUAAUGCCUAGGAAUCUGCCUGGUAGUGGGGGAUAACGUCCGGAAACGGGCGCUAAUACCGCAUACGUCCUGAGGGAGAAAGUGGGGGAUCUUCGGACCUCACGCUAUCAGAUGAGCCUAGGUCGGAUUAGCUAGUUGGUGGGGUAAAGGCCUACCAAGGCGACGAUCCGUAACUGGUCUGAGAGGAUGAUCAGUCACACUGGAACUGAGACACGGUCCAGACUCCUACGGGAGGCAGCAGUGGGGAAUAUUGGACAAUGGGAGAAAGACUGAACCAGCCAUGCCGCGUGUGUGAAGAAGGUAUUCGGAUUGUAAAGCACUUUAAGUUGGGAGGAAGGGCAGUAAGUUAAUACCGUGCUGUUUUGACGUUACCAACAGAAUAAGCACCGGCUAAAUUCGUG
rnacentral:rRNA from 1 species